rnacentral:rRNA from 1 species
UACGAAGGGGGCUAGCGUUGUUCGGAAUUACUGGGCGUAAAGCGCGCGUAGGCGGACGCUUAAGUCAGGGGUGAAAUCCCGGGGCUCAACCCCGGAACGGCCUUUGAUACUGGGUGUCUGGAGUCCGGAAGAGGUUGGUGGAAUUCCGAGUGUAGAGGUGAAAUUCGUAGAUAUUCGGAGGAACACCAGAGGCGAAGGCGGCCAACUGGUCCGGUACUGACGCUGAGGCGCGAAAGCGUGGGGAGCAAACAGG